AUUGAACGCUGGCGGCAGGCUUAACACAUGCAAGUCGAGCGGGGAAAGGUAGCUUGCUACCUGACCUAGCGGCGGACGGGUGAGUAAUGCUUAGGAAUCUGCCUAUUAGUGGGGGACAACAUUCCGAAAGGAAUGCUAAUACCGCAUACGUCCUACGGGGGAAAGCAGGGGAUCUUCGGACCUUGCGCUAAUAGAUGAGCCUAAGUCAGAUUAGCUAGUUGGUGGGGUAAAGGCCUACCAAGGCGACGAUCUGUAGCGGGUCUGAGAGGAUGAUCCGCCACACUGGGACUGAGACACGGCCCAGACUCCUACGGGAGGCAGCAGUGGGGAAUAUUGGACAAUAGGCGAAAGCCUGAUCCAGCCAUGCCGCGUGUGUGAAGAAGGCCUUUUGGUUGUAAAGCACUUUAAGCGAGGAGGAGGCUACCGAGAUUAAUACUCUUGGAUAGUGGACGCUACUCGCAGAAUAAGCACCGGCUAACUCUGUGCCAGCCGCCGCGGUAAUAC
rnacentral:rRNA from 1 species